rnacentral:lncRNA from 1 species
UACCACUGCUGGAUAAUUGGAAAGUCCCUGUGUGUCAACCUCUGUGCUUCGUGGCAAGGUAGACUAGCAAACAUGCCCAACCUUUACUCACAUUCGAGAAAACACUCCCAAUAAGAUUGCUUGCUCCAAAAUCGAAGAGGCACCGUCCUCCGAAUCUCGAGAGCCAGACUCCCAACAUGACUACUUUCUUAAAAAUCGAAGAGAGGGUAAAGGAACAGUACCAUUGCUGGAUAAUUGGAAAGUCCCUGUGUGUCAACCUCUGUGCUUCGUGGCAAGGUAGACUAGCAAACAUGCCCAACCUUUACUCACAUUCGAGAAAACACUCCCAACAAGAUUGCUUGCUCCAAAAUCGAAGAGGCACCGCCCUCCGAAUCUCGAGAGCCAGACUCCCAACAUGAUUACUUUCUCAAAAAUCGAAGAGACACUGCUCCCCGAAUCUCGAGAGCCAAACCCCCAGCAUGAUUGCUUUCUCAAAAAUCGAUGAGGCAUCGUUCUCCGAAUCAAUCGAAGAGGCGCUCGCUUUCUCAAAAGCUGGGCUGCUCAGAGACCACGAGGGCCGAUCUCAGAAAUCGAAGAGGCACCUACUUUUCUAGCCUUGUCAGCACCUGUCACACGCACACUCAGCUUUGCAGAAAUUAUGGGCAUUCUGUCGAAGACUUCUGGUGAAGUAGAAAGCACAUGAAUCUUACUGUUCAAUCACCCACUUCCCACACGCAACAAUAGCUCAUGGGUACCACAAAUAACUUUGCCAAAGUUCUCUGCCAAAGUUGAGCACGUGAAGCUUGCAGCUCCCACUACAUCGCUCUGACCAAGAAAGGUAAAAGAAUAGCAAAGAAACAGCACUAACAAAAGUUUAGACACAUAAAUUUUGAAGGUCUAGCUACCAUAUUAUUACCCACAACUGUAAAGGAACAGUACCACUGCUGGAUAAUUGGAAAGUCCCUGUGUGUCAACCUCUGUGCUUCGUGGCAAGGUAGACUAGCAAACAUGCCCAACCUUUACUCACAUUCGAGAAAACACUCCCAAUAAGAUUGCUUGCUCCAAAAUCGAAAAGGCACCGUCCUCCGAAUCUCGAGAGCCAGACUCCCAACAUGACUACUUUCUCAAAAUCAAAGAGAAGGUAAAGGAACAGUACCAUUGCUGGAUAAUUAGAAAGUCCCUGUGUGUCAACCUUUGUGCUUCGUGGCAAGGUAGACUAGCAAACAUGCCCAACCUUUACUCACAUUCGAGACAACACUCCCAACAAGAUUGCUUGCUCCAAAAUCGAAGAGGCACCGCCCUCCGAAUCUCGAGAGCCAGACUCCCAACAUGAUUACUUCCUCAAAAAUCGAAGAGACACUGCUCUCCGAAUCUCGAGAGUCAGACCCCAGCAUGAUUGCUUUCUCAAAAAUCGAAGAGGCAUCGUUCUCCGAAUCUCGAGAGCCAGAUACCACAGACCACUUUUUCAAAGUG